GACGAACGCUGGCGGCGUGCCUAAUACAUGCAAGUAGAACGCUGAAGGAGGAGCUUGCUCUUCUGGAUGAGUUGCGAACGGGUGAGUAACGCGUAGGUAACCUGCCUGGUAGCGGGGGAUAACUAUUGGAAACGAUAGCUAAUACCGCAUAACAGUAGAUGUUGCAUGACAUUUACUUAAAAGGUGCAAUUGCAUCACUACCAGAAGGACCUGCGUUGUAUUAGCUAGUUGGUGGGGUAACGGCUCACCAAGGCGACGAUACAUAGCCGACCUGAGAGGGUGAUCGGCCACACUGGGACUGAGACACGGCCCAGACUCCUACGGGAGGCAGCAGUAGGGAAUCUUCGGCAAUGGACGGAAGUCUGACCGAGCAACGCCGCGUGAGUGAAGAAGGGUUUCGGAUCGUAAAGCUCUGUUGUAAGAGAAGAACGAGUGUGAGAGUGGAAAGUUCACACUGUGACGGUAUCUUACCAGAAAGGGACGGCUAACUACGUG
rnacentral:rRNA from 1 species